rnacentral:rRNA from 1 species
AGGGCGUUGAAGCAUGAUCGUAAGGACAUGUGGAGCGCUUAGAAGUGAGAAUGACGGUGUGAGUAGAGAAAGACGGGUGAGAGACCCGUCCAGCGGUUGACUAAGGUUUCCAGAGGAAGGCUCGUCCGCUCUGGGUUAGUCGGGUCCUAAGCUGAGGCCGACAGGCGUAGGCGAUGGAUAACAGGUUGAUAUUCCUGUACCACCUAUAAUCGUUUUAAUCGAUGGGGGGACGCAGUAGAAAAGGCGAAGCGUGCGAGUGGAUUGCACGUCUAAGCAGUUAGGCUCAGUGGUAGGCA